UACAGAGGUCUCAAGCGUUGUUCGGAAUUACUGGGCGUAAAGGGCUCGUAGGUGGCCAACUAAGUCAGACGUGAAAUCCCUCAGCUUAACUGGGGAACUGCGUCUGAUACUGGAUGGCUUGAGUUUGGGAGAGGGAUGCGGAAUUCCAGGUGUAGCGGUGAAAUGCGUAGAUAUCUGGAGGAACACCGGUGGCGAAGGCGGCAUCCUGGACCAAUACUGACACUGAGGAGCGAAAGCCAGGGGAGCAAACGGG
rnacentral:rRNA from 1 species